rnacentral:rRNA from 1 species
CGGUGGAGUAUGUGGUUUAAUUCGAUGCAACGCGAAGAACCUUACCUGGUCUUGACAUCCCGGAGACCCUUAGGAAACUAGGGGUGCUUCCAUCUGGAAGAAUCUGGAGACAGGUGCUGCAUGGCUGUCGUCAGCUCGUGUCGUGAGAUGUUGGGUUAAGUCCCGCAACGAGCGCAACCCUUGCCUUUAGUUGCCAGCAGUUCGGCUGGGCACUCUAAAGGGACUGCCGGUGUUAAACCGGAGGAAGUGGGGAUGACGUCAAGUCCUCAUGGCCUUUAUGACCAGGGCUACACACGUACUACAAUGGCCGAUACAAAGGGCAGCGACACUGCGAGGUGAAGCCAAUCCCGUAAAAUCGGUCUCAGUCCGGAUUGGAGUCUGCAACUCGACUCCAUGAAGUUGGAAUCGCUAGUAAUCGCGCAUCAGCCAUGGCGCGGUGAAUACGUUCCCGGGCCUU